CUGGGUCUGUGCAGUGACCAGUCAGUCCCCUAAGAACUUUCCCCUCCAGCACUCGGAAAAAUGAGGAUUUGGUUCCAUUUCAUUUUCAUUGUAGCAGCUCUGGAAGGCGCCCGGUCCCAGGUGCAGCUGGUGGAGUCCGGAGGGGAUGUGAAAAAGCCCAGAGACUCUCUCCGCCUCUCCUGCAAAGCCUCCGGGUUCACCUUCGGUGACUACUGGAUGAGCUGGGUCCGGCAGGCUCCCAGGAAGGGCCUGGAAUGGGUUGCAAGUAUAAGCUACUGGGCAGGCAGUACACAUUACACCAACGCGGUCAAAGGCCGAUUCACCAUCUCCAGAGACAACUCCAACAAUCUGCUGUAUCUGCAACUGACCGGCCUUAAGCCCGAGGACACCGCCCGCUAUUACUGUGUGAGAGACACAAUACGCUCCACUUUAAGGCUCCCUCCAUCUCCCAGCGAAGUCACCGGAGAAGCUGAGCCCUCAGCGAAGAGUAAUGGGAACGCUGAGCCCGGAGUGCGGAUUAUGGGCCGGAAGGGUCUGGCCAAUAAACUAGAAGUGACCUUCCCUGGCAGCCCAUUGGUGAUCCUCUGUGUGUGA